UAGCGACCCUUUCCGCAGGCGCCGUUUCCGAGGUAGAAGCGCUGCAUCAUGGUGCCUUACAGCGUUCAAUCAGGGCUGCUGCCCAAGCUUUCGCUCCUUCGUCGCUGGGGGCUCCUGGCAUUGGUCGGCUCCGUAGGAAGACCUGCUACGAGCCAUAUGGUCCCGUUGUCGUACCCCGCAAGUGCUGACGGCACCGUGGAUGGCGCUCUUCAAGGGGUCACCGAUACGAGUGGUUCUUACACUUUCACCGUGAAAUAAAAAUGCAUUGCACGAGAUACGUUGGACAAAACUUCUCGCAUGCAGAACGUA